GCCAUAUCAGAGGACUGGGAUCACUUGGUACUGGGCAUAUACUGUAUUUAAGAAGGCCUCAAAAAUAUUUCUUGAAAAUUAUUUAUUCCAUUGUAUUUCAGAUCAAUCUCCUUCGAUGCUUUCCGAUAGAGGGCGAUAUAUGUGAAACGACAUCCUCUAGUGAUAAUUAUGAUGAUUCAGAAUAAAUAAAAGAUUAGUCACGCACUGUAGUAUGAAAAAAAAUGUUAAAUAUCUCCAUACAAAAAUUUGUAAGCGAAGAGAGGAGGACUAUUAGACACGCAACAUUAACAUAUCGAAUGUCUCUG